GUCGCCGGCCGCGUGGAUCCCCCGCCCCGUCGCCGGCCCUCCCCCUCAUCCAUGACCCGCCCCGUCGAGGUCCAGGUCCGCGACGGAUCCGCCUAUGCCGGCGUCUUCCACACCACCUGCCUCGACGCCGGAUACGGUGAAUUUGUGUCUAUGCUCCGUGGCGUUGAUCUGUAAAUCUUCCGAUGCUAUUUUGUGCCAUAUGGGCAAACACUAAGUUCUGAGGAAGAGAUGUCAUAUGUGUACCAUAUGGACAAACACUCUACAUUCUAAAGGACGGGCAGAACGUGCAUCCCCUGGUGAGGAGCUUGAUAGGAAGAGAUCUCAAGCGCGAUCUCAAGCGCACGCACUAUACGAGGCUUCAGGAGGAAGGAUUCUAUGAUGUUCUAUUAUCUCCCCUUCUAGAACAGUUUUAACACGGUCCCUCUGUAGUUCUUUCUGUAUAUGUACCUUUCAUAGGGUAUAGUUCAUGGUGAUAAUUCCAUUAUAUUUUUAUCAAUACACCACAUCAAUCUUAUAACUAGCUAGAAGAAACGGCAUACCUCAUGCUCCCAUUUGAGUCUUGUGUGCAAGCUCAUAUUAUGAAAUGAUAUAAGCAUGCUUGAUUCAAGGAAGUUGCUGGUCUGAUGUCACGUUAUACAACUUGUCCUGCUACAUUCCUGAAGUACUAAAAAAAUGGAAAAUAAUGCAUUUCCUCCUAAUUCAUAUUUUUAUUUUUGAUUGUACUACGAAUGUAUAUGAGAUUAUCAUAUAUUUCGUAGAACGAUCGCCCUGGUCGCUGUUUUAUUCCUCUGUUAAUCUAUUUCAAAUAUCUUUAAUCAGAGUCAAAGCAUGACAUAAUAGUUGGGUCUUUACCUGUGUUUUUUCUGCAUCUCCAUCCAGAUUUGUGUCCCAGAUCAUGGAGGAAUUACCCUCUCUGCUGGUGCGUUUACAGUGCAUUAUUUGUAGUUCUAUUGGGAAGACAGUUAGAGACCCCGAGAGGCUGCUGCGAGCUGCUAUUCCCCUCCUCGAGCUGGCGGACUGAUGAUGGAGGACCCGCCCUCUUUGCUGCAUCGGCGCCGCCGCUGCCACUUCUGCUUCUGUUGCCCGUUGGCCCAGGGCGGCGCAUGU